rnacentral:rRNA from 1 species
GAUGAACGCUGGCGGCGUGCCUAAUACAUGCAAGUCGAGCGAACGGACGAGAAGCUUGCUUCUCUGAUGUUAGCGGCGGACGGGUGAGUAACACGUGGAUAACCUACCUAUGAGACUGGGAUAACUUCGGGAAACCGUAGCUAAUACCGGAUAAUAUUUUGAACCGCAUGGUUCAAAAGUGAAAGACGGUCUUGCUGUCACUUAUAGAUGGAUCCGCGCUGCAUUAGCUAGUUGGUAAGGUAACGGCUUACCAAGGCAACGAUGCAUAGCCGACCUGAGAGGGUGAUCGGCCAAACGGGAACUGAGACACGGUCCAGACUCCUACGGGAGGCAGCAGUAGGGAAUCUUCCGCAAUGGGCGAAAGCCUGACGGAGCAACGCCGCGUGAGUGAUGAAGGUCUUCGGAUCGUAAAACUCUGUUAUUAGGGAAGAACAUAUGUGUAAGUAACUGUGCACAUCUUGACGGUACCUAAUCAGAAAGCCACGGCUAACUACGUG